UAAGAUAGAAAAAAAUUAGAGCGCAUGGAGACGAAAAGGAGGUCGCGUCCUAGGACAGAAAACCUAUCCACAAAUUCGCUCGGGUGCUGCCGCCGCAUCUCGCCUUCUCCUCCCCUUGCGAUUCAGCUCUCCUCGCCGCACCUCUCCGUCGAUCUCCUCUACCCCAUCCCUCACAACUGCUUCUGGAGACACCGGCAUGGAUGUAGGUGGGGAGCGCCAUGGAUGGGGCCGAAACUCGUCGGACUCCGACGACAGAAGGGGCGGCGGGGACGAGCUCUGUAUCCAGGCCUUGGAGCGCAUCCUCCAGGACCAUCCUCUGGAUUACGACUCCCACAUCGAGAUAUGCCACAUGUUGUAUCCAAGGGACGAAUCAUCACAGGGAGAAGUUCUUCGUUUGAAGCAAAAAUAUACAGUAUGCUCGGCUUCAUUGCAGGACAUAGUAUAGGAACUAUGUACAGUAUGAAGGAAUUGAGCUGCAAUGAGGCUUGAAGUGUAUCACAGAAAGAACUGUGGCAUACACUAACCGCACAAUGCUUCCUCAAGCUCUAGAGAAGAAGAGCUUGGACAUUAUGCAGAAACUUCUAUCUCGACAUGUUGAGAUUAUAGAAACAAUUGAUGAGGAGGAUACUUACGCACAUUAACAGAUUAAUGAUAGGAUUUUGAACACUGAUGACCUUGCAGGACUAAAGAAGUUUUCUGAUAGCGAGGAUCUGCAAUCUGAAUGGCAUAAUGCUAAAAGGAAUAACAAGAUGAAGUUAGUUUCCUUGAUAAGAGACAAGACUACCGACUACGGACAAAUACAACCCUUAAAGCCUUGUGGAAAUCUAAACUUCUCCCUAAGCUGAAAGUGUUCACUUGGUUACUUGUUCAUGACCGGCUAAACACCCGAGAUUUGAUGAACCGCAAGCAGUGACAAUUAGAAUCUGGCGAUGAGUGUGUUCUUUGCAUGUCACAUCACCUAGAAACCAGAGAUCAUUUGUUUUUUGAGUGCUCUUUUGCAAGUCAUUGUUGGAACCUAUUUUUAAUCGAAUUUUGCUUGCUAAUAAAAUGUUUACUGGCCCUUGUUUCAUGGAGGUAGUGGCUUGUGCAGCUUGGAAUAUUUGGAGAGUUCGAAAUGAUUUCAUAUUUCAAGAUCAGGCUUCUUCUUUUGGUCAAUGGAGAGUUGGUUUCUCAAGUGAUCUGAUGCUUCACCAAUUCAAAGUUAAAGGAGCUUUAGUUCAACCACUCAUUGACUGGUUGCUUCAUAUCUUUGUAUAAGUUUUCAUGUAUCUUCUUUUUCACUACUUCCCACCUUGAGCCAGCCACUCCAGCGGUCUGAGGAGAUGCUUGCUAUCCACAUGUCAGUAUACUGAAGUUGGAGUCUGCGGCUCAGUUUAGCCCAUGGCUUUGACGCAGCUUCGCUGAUGGCCUUGCUGAAUAUCUGAAUGAAGCCUCCUCUUCAAAAGGUUUGUUCGCCAGGUAUGUGCUAGAUGUGAACGUGGAGAGGGUGGAGGACAUACCAGCGGCUACUCGAGGAGGUAUGAGACCUGCAGCACCGGCCCGCCUUGGCUGUGGGUGUAGUUCAGAUUGCAGAGAUAUUAUUCAAGUUAGAAAGAAAGGAUGGAGGCCAAGAGAGAUUGUGAUGGUUGCAAAAUAAGAAGAUUUACAAUGUGUUGCAACAUUAGGUGGAAUUAUUCAGCUUGGGCUUCAGGUAUAGGUGAAAACUGCAAUUUGUGAGGGAAAAUGCUCUCCGCUCAAUCACUCUUUUUCAGUUGUAUAAGGUACAGAAAAAUUCAUUUUAAUGCUGGCACUACAUCCUUGCAGAUGGAGUAGAGGAUCACGGGACGAAGUAAAAAAGGCACAAUAGGAGUGCAGUUGUCAAGUUACAUCCUUGUUGUGUUAUAUGUACCGACGAUGUACUAUAUCAACUCUUAACAUGUCCGAUACCAACUUUCUUAUUACACACUAUUGGUCGCACCUUGUCAACUUGCACAUGAGCACUGUGGAAUUUUUUGUAUUGCACUUUAUACAUUUUUCUCU